rnacentral:lncRNA from 1 species
CACAGAGCCACCUCAUCGUGCAAGAGUCUGUCUCUCCUUUCUUGGUGCUCCCAUUGGGUGAGGCCAGGCAGGGGUCUGGGUGGGGGGCAGUCAGGGUCAGGACCCAGGGUGGAACGGGGGGUCCUGAAAAUUCAUUUCCUGCCCGCUCCCACCAAGGCUGGCCCCCCGGGGCCGCGGGGGACAGGGGACAGCCCGCUCAGGGCUCCUUCUCGGCCCUCUUCCUGCUGCAGUGGGCGGAGGGCGAGUCUCGGGGCUGCUCCCGACCUGGGGUCCCGAACUGGAGACACGGCCUGAUGUGCAGUGGGGCUCUGCUCUGCGGGGGGCCGGGGUGGCUGGGCCUCCCCCGCCCCUGCCCCGCCNNNNNNNNNNNNNNNNNNNNNNNNNNNNNNNNNNNNNNNNNNNNNNNNNNNNNNNNNNCCGCCCCGCCCCGCCCCGCCGGGCCCACUGACGAGUCGCUUUCUAAUGUAAACGGAUGACAGGGGCGCCCGGAGGAGCCUGCCUGCCGGAGGAGGAACGUGAUUAGACUCAUUUGGGCCCAAGAGCAGUGAUGGAUGUGGACAGGCGGAGCCGCCGGCUGACCCAGUGUCCGCCGGGCGCCGGGGGCCCCUCCGCAGGGCCAGGCCCGCUCCUGGACGGGUGGCUCCUGGACGCCUCGCGCACGAGCUCAGACGGGACCCCCGGCCCUGCCCCCCUGCCCGUGGCUCUCCCGCCUGCUCUCGCGGGUCCCUCUCCCACCCCCGGGCCAGCGUGCUCCUCCCAGCCGCCCCGCGAGCUCCUGACUGCGCACCCCAGUCUCCCCAUCGCAUUUGCUGUCUUCCCGAUUCCCAUCUGUCCUCCUUGGGAUCAACUCAGGGUCCCCACACAGCCUGGCUCUGGCACCCGGGAGGGGCUCAGGCAAAGUCGUCCAUGGGAACCUCCACGUACCAGGUCUCCAUCGGGCUCCUCGGAUGACUCGGGGCUGGAGAAGCCUUGGCUGUGUGCUGGUUGCCCAUCCAGGGCGAAGCGCUUUCGGAGGCAGGAAGGCCCGUAAAGUGACACCGGUGUGGGGGCGGGUGGGCUGCGUGUGGCCAGGGGUGGGGGCACGGGAGGGGCCUGGUGGAAAGAACGCUGGGCCCGAGUUGGGACACCAGAGCUGCUGACCCCGAGGGACGGCACCCGCUCUCCCGCCCUGACUCCAUUUCCUCACCAGGAAGAGGAACUGCCUCCUUCCUGCUCUGCGACCCCUGCGAGAUCACACGACUGACCAGAGCGCGGCGGGGGCUUCUCGUCCCUUCGCUGCUGUCCUGCCCC